GUGGGUAUAGCUUAGUGGUACGGUGUGAGCUUAGCAUGCACAAGGGCCUGGGUUCAAUCCCCAGCAUCUCCA
rnacentral:tRNA from 1 species